rnacentral:lncRNA from 1 species
UUCAUUCUCUGUUGAAUCAAAACACGGUUCGUCCUCCUUACAAUGCAAAUCAUUUGUUUUGACCAAGCCUUUCACCAAUAUAUCUUGAAUACAAGAUUUUAAGGAACCAAUCCAUGUGAAUCGCAAAUUGUUUCUAUGUAGACAGUUUUUUGCGAUGGAAUAAUAAUCAAACAUUCUUUUUUGCUAUGGAAUAAUAAUCAAACAUUUAAACAUUUUUCGUGGCAGUACCAUUUGAAUACAACAAGAUACAUUUUCUUCGUCCAAUGAAAUUGAUUCUGUCCUGAGCUGCGGCGAACCAAACUUUUCAUUCUAGAAAAUCAGGGAACGGUCCUUCAUUCCUUCCCUGGUCCAAAUUCAAAAGGAAAUGAAUCCCACCAAACCAAAGCAGGACGGCAGGUUCAGUACACAGCAGUUUCAGGCAUUUCAGCAUCUACUAUGCCACCCUUGGGCCUUGUCACCGAGCUCAUAUGAGAACAGAACACCUCCAACUGAACAAACAGUUCGUCCUUUACCAAAAUAUCCUCCAAAGUACCACCCUUCAGAAGAUAUAAGCCACCAGCCAAACCUGUUUCAGAUUCAAACAGACAGUACCGUCGAGGACAUCAUCUGAAUGAAGAUGCCAGUAUUGCCAAGCAUGGAAUGAUCAACAUAUCAAAUAACUGAAAUUUAAAUCAGAAGCAUAGAUCGAUGAUGAAUAAGAAAAAAAGAACCUAAAAGUUGACCAAAAUGACUAGUUAGCUACGUCGUUAAAUGACCCAACUUUAAAAUAGAACACCACAACACUAGCAGACUAAAGUUCAUGGACAGGUAACUGCAUUCUCGCGGGCAAACCAGCAAUAGAAAAAAACUGAAAAAAAAUAGUACAAUGCAUAGAGCUUAGGAAUAUGCAGUUGUUCAACAUACGCACACAAAUCAGGUAUCUGGUUUUGCCUUGGUAUGGAAAUGAAAUGACCAUCACCGCAAAUAAGUGAAAAUUUUAAACCGGAACCAUAGAUCAUUAGAUCCUAUGUCAAUAUCAGAAAUAAUUCAAAACAUAAAUACUAAUUGACCAUGACGAUUUAUCCUCUAAUUAGUUAAACGACCCAACCAUAGAUAAAACACCUCAAGGCUCCACAAGAUACCAGCAAUAGAACACUCCUUACUGGCUAUGGCAAACAACCACUAAAAGUAGAAUAACCUGAAAAGAGACAGACCAUAUAGCUCAGGUACAUAUUGUAGUUCAGCAUUCACCCAUAUCAGGUAUCUGGUUUUAGCAGGUUUACAAGAUUGGGUUUUGGUGUACAUAUCGGUCCAGAUUGGCCAUAAAGAAGUAUGAUAACAAAUCAUCAAGUUCCCAGUCACAUGUAAAGCACAACAAAAUUGAAACAAUAUUACAAAACCAAAUUAGCCAGGAGUGACACAGUGCAUAUGAUAUUACGACAUUAAGUGUUAAUUUGAUGCACUCAACUUCAUAAGCAUAGAUAAUUUUAGUCAAAAAGGUUGUUUGCCCACUUUUCAAUGUAAGACGACAUUUUGAGCUACAUAGUGACGAGGGUUAUAUAAGAUGUGGUUACCACAUUACAUAUUGUCUGCCCUAUGAUACAUUGCUUCCAUGUCAUGGAAACCAAAAAGAAAAAUGUAUAGAGCUUAGGAACAUGCCGAAAUUCAACAUUCAUACACAAAUCAGGUAUCUGGUUUUGCAGGUUUACAAGAUUGGUGUUUGGUGUGGUAGCCCGGGGCGUAGACAACGGGGGUGAGCGGCACCCCCUUUUAGGUUUGGCAGAGGGUGUCGGGGAUCGCUUCGGCGAUCGCUGGCGAAGCCAAUGUCAAGCGUGAGGAUGCACACAAUCGUUUUUAUCCAGGUUCGGGCCACCCUGAGGUGUAAAGUCCUACGUCCUGCUUCAGCGUUCUUAUUAGCUAGUGAACAAGGGUUUACCAGUUGCCGUGGGAGUUCCCGGGUGUUCUCUCCUUUUCUGCUAAGAGCUACUUGCUAUUUCUGACGAAAACUAGUAAAGAAAACCGAACCGAACCGAACCCUUUGACCUUUGGCAAUGGUCCUCCUUUUAUACUCAAGGGAUACCACAGGUGCCUCGGUGCAUGGGUGACAAGUGGCGAGCAAAGAACUAGGGCAGCUUGCCCUCGGUGUGCUAGCUUGCAUGCAUGAUGAGUAGCCCUGCAAUUAGGGUUCUACGUGCCUAAAAUUUACACCGGGCCAGUCACUGUAGGCUGACUGAUGGGGAAUCCCCUUUCUGUCGGUGCAUUUAAUGCUUGAGUGUGCUUCACUCCUUGUCCUGACGAACCCUGCGCACGGGGAGCCCGCCGAGCGGCCACGUGGUGUCGCUGUCCUGCCCGCUCGGUCCCGCUCCUGUAGCGGGCGCCUGCGCCCGGGAACGCCCUUCCCGGCAAGUAACCUUCCUAGGAAGCGUCCCGGCGGGAUUUCUCUUGCUGCACUCUAGGGUAACCCCCGCGGCCUAGCUAGCCCUGCCAUGCUGGUGACUUGUCGGGCAGCUCGCGGGGUGCUGCCCGGGGUGCGAUCCUCCCGGGGAGCAAGCGAGGUGGCCCACGCGUCAUGCAGCGGAGGUACCCCGGGUGCCACUGGUGCGACAGUAGCCCCCGGGCGUGGGCCGGCAACGCCUGUUCCCGGGUGGACUCUUCCCUGGUCGGUUGCCGGGCUACGCCCUUAACCGACGCGUGGGUCCCGAGCCUCUUCGGGUCCUCGUCUAUGCACUGCUUCAAGGAUUCUGCCGUUACGGGCAGAGUAGUGGGCGCGAGAUUUCCGCCCUAACCCCCCCCUUAAACUCGGGUGGUUAAGGCCACGCCCUGCGCUAUCCUCUUGAAGUGUAGUUAUCCCCAGCUCACCUGUAGGGUGCGGAUGCGACCGUUGCUUAGCGCCGGGGUGUUAUAAGACCCCUUCGCUGCGCUGAGGAGCAAAUGCUUAGGCCCCCAGCCUUUCUUCUCCAUCCUCACGCUCCGUUGCGCUCCUGAAUCCUGAUAGCUUCCGCCCGCGUUCCCCAUGGCACCCACCGCUCCCAAGAAAGGGAAAAGCUCCAAGAAGCCCGCGGCCAGCAAGAGUGAGACGGCUCCCAAGAACCCCGCCUCGGAGAAGGACCAGAAGAGGCGGGCGCUGAGGGCCACGCACGCCUUCUUCCGGCCCGGAUACAACGGCGAGGGGCGGGACAAGGUCCGGCACGCCGUCGCCUCGCGGUUCAACGUGUACGGGGAGACUCUCAUCUUCCCCGCCGGCACCGAGCACCAAGAGAACGACUUCCGGGUGUUUGCGUGCUUCAUCCUCGUCGGGUUGGUUCCUCCAUACUCGUUGUUCCUCCACGCGCUCAUGGAGGCGUGAUAGCCUCAAGGGUGUCCCGAUCUUUCGAUGAGAUACCUAAUUAUCGAUUUGGUAGGAGGUGACGUUGACGAUCCGACUACAACCUAGGAGGCAGCGCCUUAGCGAUUGAUACACCAACUCCAGAAGGUUAUUGAUCCCGCGGGGGCACGAUCAACCUGACCACGAAGGUCUUUGUUCCUGCAAGCAAUCGAAGAACAAGCAAGAACAAGAUGAAAAGCAAUCUGAAAUUGCGAAUAGGAGAUAUGAAGGUUCACGAAUCUGAAUACUCAAUAUAGUUGGAGUCUUGAUGACGGUAAAACAGGUGGUCUAACCGACACACGCGAUUACACGAAAGUAGCAAAGGCUAAACUUUAUCUAAUCAAAACCCAAGGCUCCAUGGGGGGCACAUGGGGUAUAAAUAGGAGGGGAACUAGGUGGUUUUCGGACAGGUCCUUGAGGGACUCCGAAACGGCCUAGGAAUCCUCCUAAAACACAACGAAAACAUCUAAAAAUUGGCUGGACCCUAUUACAUGGCCUUAGGCCCAAUAAACCAAGGUUAUAACCCUCAUCUUUGGCCCAUAGAUACCCAUUGGAGGGAGAAUCCUCCACUUGGCCGAAAUCCCAUUGAUGAAGAGGAUGCGGCCUUCUUCUCAUCUCUCGUUAUGGCGGUUUCAAUGUUCUGAAAUCAUCACUUGAGCUAGCUCCCGCCACCUUGCUGCCACCUCCAUGGUUUGUUGUCCAACGCUGAUCCUUGAGGUGCAAGCUAGGUCCUUCAUUCCUAAAACACAUAAAAGAACCCAUCUUAGGCAGCAGCAUGUUCUCAUUAAUAUUAAAUGAAGUACCGAGGAACGAAAGUACCUGAUAAUUUAGUUGUCGUGCACGAGCUCUAGUAAUUGGUCCAUGUAUCUCCGGUACUUGAGGUGUAUGUGCUGUAGGGGCUGUGGUUGUAUCAUUAGUUGGGAUGUCCUCAUCAUCCUCCCCUUCUUGAAUCGAAGUCGUCCUCGACGGUAGUUCAUCUUCUUCUCCCAAAUAAGGCUUCAAAUCUGCAAUAUUAAACGUGGGACUAACCCCAAAAUCUGCAGGUAGCUCAAGUUUAUAUGCAUUAUCAUUAAUUUUUGCUAACACCUUAAAGGGACCAUCAGCUCGUGGCAUUAACUUAGACUUGCGCAAAUCAGGGAAACGAUCUUUGCGCAAAUGCAACCAAACAAGAUCUCCAGGUUCAAACACAAUUUGUUUUCUGCCCCUAUCUCCCGCAAGUUUAUACUUAGAAUUCAUGCGCUCAAUGUUCUCUUUAGUCGUCUCAUGCAUUUUUAUUAUAAGUUCAGCACGUUCCUUAGCAUCAAAGUUAACUUUUUCAGAAGUUGGCAAAGGUAACAAAUCAAUUGGUGCACGAGGCAUAAAACCAUAAACAAUUUCAAAAGGGCACAAUUUUGUGGUUGAAUGCAGUGAACGAUUAUAAGCAAAUUCAAUAUGAGGUAAACAUUCUUCCCACAUUUUCAAGUUCUUCUUUAAAACAGCCCUAAGCAUAGUAGAUAAUGUUCUAUUAACAACUUCAGUUUGUCCAUCUGUUUGGGGAUGACAUGUAGUACUAAAAAGCAGUUUAGUCCCCAACUUAGCCCAUAAACAUCUCCAAAAGUGGCUAAGAAAUUUUGUGUCACGAUCUGAAACUAUAGUAUUGGGCACACCAUGCAAGCGAACAAUUUCACGAAAGAAUAAAUCAGCAACAUUUGUAGCAUCAUCGCUCUUAUGACAAGGUACAAAAUGUGCCAUCUUAGAAAAUCUAUCAACAACAACAAAUAUGCUAUCCCUCCCCUUCUUAGUUCGAGGCAAUCCCAAAACAAAAUCCAUUGAUAUAUCUUCCCAAGGAACAUUAGGAACAGGGAGAGGCAUAUAUAAACCAUGAGGAUUGAGUCGUGACUUAGCUUUUUGACAUGUAGUGCAACGAGCGAUAAAUCUCUCAACAUCCCGUCUCAUCCGAGGCCAAAAGAAAUGAUCAGCGAGCACAUCUUCGGUCUUUUUCACGCCGAAGUGACCCAUCAACCCUCCUCCAUGUGCCUCCUGUAACAACAAAAGACGAACGGAGCUAUCUGGGAUGCAUAGCUUGUUAGCACGGAACACAAAUCCAUCAUUAAUGACGAACUUGUUCCAUGUUCUGCCCUCUUUACAAUGCUGCAAAACAUCCUUAAAAUCUGCAUCAUGUUCGUAUUGUUCUUUUAUAGUCUCCAAUCCAAAUAUCCGAAAAUCAAGCUGAGAUAACAAGGUAUAACGACGUGAUAACGCAUCAGCAAUAACAUUAUCUUUACCCUUCUUAUGUUUAAUAACAUACGGAAAAGACUCAAUAAAUUCAACCCAUUUAGCAUGACGACGGUUCAGCUUUGCUUGACUACGAAUAUGCUUCAAAGAUUCAUGAUCAGAAUGUAUAACAAAUUCUUUGGGCCAUAAAUAAUGUUGCCAUGUUUCUAAAGUCCGAACGAGAGCAUAUAAUUCCUUAUCAUAAGUAGAAUAAUUCAGACUAGGCCCACUCAAUUUUUCACUAAAGUAUGCAACAGGUUUUCCGCCUUGUAACAACACACCUCCUAAACCGAUUCCACUAGCAUCACACUCCAACUCAAAAGUCUUAUUAAAAUCAGGAAGUUGGAGUAAAGGAGCAUGUGUCAACUUAUCUUUCAAUAUGAGAAAAGCUUCUUCUUGUGCAGCGCCCCAUACAUAUGGAACGUCCUUCUUUGUGAGCUCAUUAAGCGGUGCAGCAAGGGUGCUGAAAUCCUUUACAAAGCGGCGAUAAAACCCAGCGAGUCCAAGAAAGCUCCUCACUUGGGUGACCGUUGUUGGAGUUGGCCAGCUUUGAAUUGCGUCGAUCUUGGCCUUAUCAACUUCUAUGCCCUGUGGAGUGACAACAUAGCCAAGAAACGAAACUCGAUCGGUGCAAAAGGUGCACUUCUCAAGGUUACCAAACAAACGUGCAUCUCUCAAAGCAUCAAAAACAGCACGUAAAUGAUUCAAGUGGUCUUCUAAAGAGCUGCUGUAAAUCAAUAUAUCAUCAAAAUAAACCACCACAAAUCGUCCUAUGAAAGCACGUAAAACUUCGUUCAUUAACCGCAUGAAAGUGCUAGGUGCGUUAGUAAGACCGAAAGGCAUGACUAACCACUCAUAUAGUCCAAACUUAGUUUUAAAUGCUGUUUUCCAUUCAUCGCCUAAUUUCAUUCGAAUUUGGUGGUAACCACUACGUAAAUCAACUUUAGAGAACACGGUAGAGCCACUUAAUUCAUCUAACAUAUCAUCAAGUCUAGGAAUUGGGUGACGAUAGCGAAUAGUAAUGUUAUUAAUAGCUCUACAAUCUACACACAUACGCCAAGAACCAUCUUUCUUUGGUACCAAAAUAACAGGAACAGCACAAGGACUAAGGGAUUCACGAAUAUAACCUUUGUCGAGCAAUUCUUGAACUUGUCGUUGAAUCUCCUUCGUCUCCUCUGGAUUGGUACGGUAGGGCGCACGGUUGGGCAGCGAAGCACCAGGAAUUAAAUCAAUUUGAUGUUCAAUCCCUCGAAUAGGUGGUAAUCCUGGUGGUACGUCUUGUGGAAAGAUGUCGGAAUACUCCUGCAAAACGUGAGUAACAGCAGGGGGCAAAGAGGGAGGCAUAUCCUCAAAUGAAAACAAAGCCUCUUUGCAAAUGAAUGCAUAGCAAACAGAAUUAUUCGUAUCUAACUCAGAAAUAUCGGAUUUACUUGCAAGCAAGCAUGCACCUUUCAAUUUAAUUUCAUUAACAUGUUUCGGUUCAGAUUUGCUAGUAGACGCUUGGUGCUUAAAUUCUUUAGCGACAUUAUGGUUCUCACUCUUAUCCUUCUCUUUGCUCUUUGCUCUACUAGCUCUAGCAAGAUCAUCUUUCACAAUUUGUUCAGGAGUCAUAGGUUUCAAACCAAUUUUCUUACCAGCAUGCAUAAAAGAAUAAUGAUUAGUUCUACCAUGAUGAACAGAAUCUGUAUCAUAUUGCCAUGGACGACCGAGUAACAUAGAACAUGCUUGCAUAGGUACCACAUCACAAUCCACAAAAUCAGAAUAUGUACCAAUAGUAAAGUGUGCACGGACUGUUCUAGUUACCUUGAGCUUACCGCUGUUGUUAAACCAUUGAAUGUAGUAAGGGUGGGGGUGCGGCCUGGUGGUAAGAACAAGUUUUUCCACCAUCUCCGUGCUGGCCAAAUUAUUGCAACUUCCCCCAUCUAUGAUGAUACGAACAGCGCGUUCCUUGAUGACCCCUUUUGUUUGGAACAAGUUAUGCCGCUGAUUUUGUUCGGCGUGGCUCAUUUGGACGCUCAAGGUGCGUUGUGCAAUCAAACUCAAGUACUGAUCAGCGGCUUCAGCUCCCAUUAACUCCUCGUCAUGGUGGGCAGCGGGGUCUUCUUGCUCUUCCUCGACAAUGAGAGCAUAGGUAGCUUCGUCAAAAUCACUGGCUGAAUCAUAUACUCCGUCUUCACGUAUGAUCAUAACGCGUUUGGUUGGACAGUCCCGCUGAAAAUGCCCGUAUCCUUUGCACCUACGACAUUGGUUAUCUCCGGUCCGUCCGGUGGAAGCAACGGACGCUGCUGAACUUUGUGCAGAGGCAGCGGGUGUAUUUCUUGUUGCUGCUGGUCCAACCUUUGCGGAUGUAGGUGUAGAGGUACUUUGCUUGUUGGUGGAAGUAGUCGGAACAGCCGGACGUGUAGGGGGUGCAGCUGGGCGUGUGGAAGGGGCAGCGGGGCUGCGUGCUGCCCAUGAGGAAGUACGACCUGCAGAAAAGUUAGUCCGCGCGUUCGCGUGUCGUCCCUGCACUUCCCUUUGAGCUUUGCAAGCAAUGUGAAACAAUCGAUUGAUAGAAUUAUACUCCUUAUAAUCAACAAUGUCAGCAAUUUCACGAUUUAAACCACCAAAGAAUCUAGCCAUAGCAGCUUCCUCAUUCUCAACUAAACCACAACGUAACAUGUUCUUUUGCAUUUCUUGAUAAUAAUCUUGGACAGAAUUACUACCUUGCCUUAAUUGUUGUAGUUUCUUUAACAAGUCACGCGAAUAGUAUGAAGGAACAUAUCUAGCGCGCAUAAUUCUUUUCAAAUCAUCCCAUGUUGGUGGUAUAGCGUUAGGAUGUGCAAUACAAUACUCAUGCCACCAAACAGAAGCAAAAUCAGUAAACUCACUAGUAGCAGCCCUAACCCUCUUAUUAGCAGGAAAAUCAUGGCAAGUAAAUUUUUGACUCAAUUCUAAUUCCCAUGUAAGGUAAGCAUCAGGGUCAUAUUUUCCAUCAAAAGGAGGAACCUUAAGUUUAAUAGAAUGCAGCGAGUCAUGUUCCUCUCUGUGAGGUCGUGUCGGUCCCAUACCUCGGCGGUUGAAACGAGUUCGGCGAUGAUCACGGUCGUUGUGAUGGUUUACGGCCCCGUCGUGUUCCGUAUCCGCGGAGUAGUCGUCGUCGUUCUCCUCAACCUCGCUUGCGAAGGUACCCUUAUUAGCGGUCCGCUGGUUGUGUGUAUUGUUUCCUCCCGGUGUAGCGAUGGUCGUUGCAGCAAUUGCCGCCAGUUGCGUCGUGAUUUCUGCCAGAGAAGUACUAAUGGUAGCAACAGAAUUCUGUAAAGAUGUUAGCUUGGUAUUUGUUUCAAUGUGCGCGCUCUCCAAGGUUCCAAGUCUCUCAUUCGCAACCCGAACGUCCUCAUCCAGCUCCUCGUUACGGAGCCUAAGCUUGCGAUCAAAAUGUGAAAUAAUGCCCUUUGUGCGUGGAGAGUGGCCUUGUAAAUCAUCGUCAGAACCUGCCAUCGUUAGGACAUCCCAACUAAUGAUACAACCACAGCCCCUACAGCACAUACACCUCAAGUACCGGAGAUACAUGGACCAAUUACUAGAGCUCGUGCACGACAACUAAAUUAUCAGGUACUUUCGUUCCUCGGUACUUCAUUUAAUAUUAAUGAGAACAUGCUGCCGCCUAAGAUGGGUUCUUUUAUGUGUUUUAGGAAUGAAGGACCUAGCUUGCACCUCAAGGAUCAGCGUUGGACAGCAAACCAUGGAGGUGGCAGCAAGGUGGCGGGAGCUAGCUCAAGUGAUGAUUUCAGAACAUUGAAACCGCCAUAACGAGAGAUGAGAAGAAGGCCGCAUCCUCUUCAUCAAUGGGAUUUCGGCCAAGUGGAGGAUUCUCCCUCCAAUGGGUAUCUAUGGGCCAAAGAUGAGGGUUAUAACCUUGGUUUAUUGGGCCUAAGGCCAUGUAAUAGGGUCCAGCCAAUUUUUAGAUGUUUUCGUUGUGUUUUAGGAGGAUUCCUAGGCCGUUUCGGAGUCCCUCAAGGACCUGUCCGAAAACCACCUAGUUCCCCUCCUAUUUAUACCCCAUGUGCCCCCCAUGGAGCCUUGGGUUUUGAUUAGAUAAAGUUUAGCCUUUGCUACUUUCGUGUAAUCGCGUGUGUCGGUUAGACCACCUGUUUUACCGUCAUCAAGACUCCAACUAUAUUGAGUAUUCAGAUUCGUGAACCUUCAUAUCUCCUAUUCGCAAUUUCAGAUUGCUUUUCAUCUUGUUCUUGCUUGUUCUUCGAUUGCUUGCAGGAACAAAGACCUUCGUGGUCAGGUUGAUCGUGCCCCCGCGGGAUCAAUAACCUUCUGGAGUUGGUGUAUCGAUCGCUAAGGCGCUGCCUCCUAGGUUGUAGUCGGAUCGUCAACGUCACCUCCUACCAAAUCGAUAAUUAGGUAUCUCAUCGAAAGAUCGGGACACCCUUGAGGCUAUCACGUGGUAUCGGAGCUUAAGGUUGCUCGGUGAGAUUUUUCCAGUUUAUCCGUAGUUUAGAUCUGUUUUUACCUAUCGUCCAGAAAAAGCCAAAGAAAAAUUAGAAUUAGUUACCUUGUCCUAGAACCAAUCUGAGCCUUGCAAUUUUCACUUUAGUAUUUGCAUUGUUGAAUCUUUGCUGCAUUAAUCGUGUCGAGUUGCUGGAUUAGAUUGGAUCGUUUUUCAGAUUUUUUCUACUAGAUCGAACUUGCUUUUGGUUUUCUUGUUCUUCGUGUGACGCAGGUUUCCUUCAUCAAUCUUCCGCCGCCAAACUUCCUGCCACACCACCGCCAUAAUCUCCCGCCACCACCAUAUCUUCCACUGAGUCCCUCUUCGAGUCCUACACCGAGUCCCUCUUCGAGUCCUACACCGAGUCCCUCUUCGAGUUCUACAUCGAGUCGGCAAGUAAUAGUUUUCAGCCGCGAGUUCGAGUCCGAGUCCAAUAAGGAGUGCUUUUGGAAAGUGUUUUAUCAUAGAUCGAAUUUUGUUUAGAGAUCAAGUUGUUUGGAAAGUUGAAAGAAAAAAGAAAGGAAAGAAAAAAAAAAGGAAAAAAAGAAAGAAAAAAAAAGAAAAAAAAAAGAGAAAGAGUUCGAGUCGGUUUCGGACCCGAGUCCGAGUAGAAUUUUUAGUGUCGGGUGGGUUUGACCCGUGUUCAGUAAAACGGACGUAUCUUUUGCAUACCAACUCGGAUUUGAACGUUCUUGGACUUUUUGGAAAGCUCACGACGAGGUGCAUCAGGAAAUAUCCAGGGCUUUGCCCUGCACUUUGACCCUCAAAUUCGGUUUGUAAGGUGGACUUUCGGAGCUUUCAAGUUUCUGCAUCCAUUUUCCGGCGUCGCUGCAGCCCGGUGUUUCUCAGUUUUCUCCACCGUCCGACAUCCGUUUCGAGUGAUCUUGACCUUACUGGAAAGCUUGUGUCGAUACCCUUCUAACCCAUAUUUUUCCAUAUUUUUCUGAAUUUUUCUUACUGCAGCCUUUGCUGUUCUUCGGCAGACCGACGUACAUUUUUCCGGUCCUUCUUUUGCGUGAGUUUCUGGGGUUAAAAAAAAGAAAAAAGAAAAAAAAAGAAGAAGAAAAGAAUAAGAAGCCAAACAGAAGGCCACAAAAAGAAAAAAAAAAGAAAAAAAAAUCCCAGGGAUUUACUUGUUGUGCCAUCUUUUGAUCUAUCUAUUCCUACCUUCUUCAGUAUCUAGGCUUAGAUUAUUUCUGUAAUUCGUUCUUAUCGACUCCAGCAGCUAGGACUAGCAUUAUUGAGCAUAUUUUCAACUUUGCAUUGCUGAUUUGAUUAUUUGCUAUUCUUUGCUACUCACAAAAGCCUCCAAGCUCCACAGAUUCUACACCUAGGUUGGUUUGUUACCGAGGCAUCGAUACAUUUAAUCUUCGGAGGGCUUGGUUACGCCGCUGGCCAUCACCUUCCUGUUUUGCAUGGUAAGAACUCGUAAGAACUUGAUUUUUAGCUUGAGAGUUGAGCGACUUGUAGCCACAUCCUAGUAGUUGAUAGGAACAUAUUACUGUGAUUUGUUUCUUGUUUUCUACUAACCAUGACAGGACUUACACGAAGCAUGGCAACUAGACCGAUGCUAUUCCGUGACCGCGAUGAGUGCUUUUCACCCCGGCCAUCCUCCACGUCUCUUGUUGAUAAUGGCACGGCAACGGUACAAAACACUCCUUCUAAUACAAUUAAAUUGUGUGUACCUUUCUUUGAGGGGGAAAAUGAUGCUGAAACAUAUAUAGAUUGGGAGUUAGCUUUAACUGCACAAUUCACAUGCUUCCAUGUACUUGAUAGUCGCAAGGUUCAAAUUGCUAGUAGUAAAUUUACUUUUGCUGCUUUAUCUUGGUGGAAUGAGAUAGUUAGAGAAAAGAAAAUUCCCCACACUUGGGUUGAUAUGAAGAAAAUCAUGAGAGAAAAAUAUGUCCCUUUUAGUUAUGCUUUUAACUUGCGUUCAAAAUUACGACGUUUGGCACAAGAUGAUAAAACUGUUGAUGAUUACUACAAUGAGUUUCAAAUUAUAACCUUGCAAUCUGGUUUAGAUGAAACCGAACAAAGAAAAAUGGAUAGGUUUUAUUGUGGGCUUAACUUUGAUAUUUCUUACAUGAUUGAAUAUGGAAAAUACGACUCUCUUUUGUGUUUGCUUAAUCUUGCUCGUAAAGUUGAGAGGAAAUUACAGCGAGGGUCUACUACAAAUGAGUCGAGCCCACAAGGUAGUGAUACAGAGGAUUGUGUUGCUGAACUAAAAAGGGCAUGUGAUGAAAUACAUGUGAUACCAGUUGAAUUUUCUGCACCAUGUGAAAUUAUUGUCAUACAUGGUGAUUCAAGUGCACCUACUGCUGAAAUUAAUUCUUCUAAUGAUUUGAGUGCACAAAUUAAUUUUGAUAUUGAUGAGAACGAAUCAUGUGAGGAAAUAACUAAUGUUUUGGGAGAAACAAGUGAGAUAGAUAAAUUUGAUUUAGGUUGUGUCGAGUUGAUUACACAUGGAGUGAUUGAGAACGAUCCACCUAUUAAUUCUUUGUGUUAUAUUGCACUUGAUAGUCCCAUGUAUUUGUCGCAUGCAAUGGAUAAACUGUGUGAGUUAACAAUUUCGAAAUCUUUUGCUGUUCACGGAUACACAAUUCAUUUAAUUGGACAACAUGAUGUGAACAAUAACAUUUUGGUGCAUGAGAUUUGCAUUACUUGUGAUAAUUUUCCUCUCUUGGGAGAAAAGAAAUUUUUGCACAUGCUUAAUCGUUUUGAUAGGACCUCCAAUAUAGGUGUUGAUUAUUUGCCAAAUAGUUAUUUACAUGCUUGUUUGAAUAUUAGUGCUUUGACUUGCUCUAAAUUUCAGCAUAUUGUAGUAACUAAUUUGGAUACUAUUCAUUAUUAUUCUCCAAUGUUGGGAUGGUGUAAUGGUGAGCGAUGCAAACCAAAUACAAGAAAUCGUUUCGCUUAUAAAUGCAAACAAUAUUGUCAAUCUUCUUGCUGGAAUGUUAUUCAUCAUGAUUGUUUUACUAAUUAUCUCAUGAAACUUUGUUAUAAAAGAUUAAUUGUGCAAGAAAGGAGAUGUAUAAAGAUGGAUGACAUAUACAUAUACCAUGCACACACUUUGUCUAUUUUGUCAGUCUCUUUACAGCACAAACGACGCCGAGGACGGCUUUCCUUUCAAGAAAGGGAGGAUGAUAUGGACAACCAUGGAUACGACCUUUGGUGCCCUCAAUUCUAUAAUAUUUGACAAGAUUUAUAAUCAGGUGAAUUCAAGUAGUAAUUGUUUUCAUUGUCAUAUUUAUGAAGAGGCGGAGCUACUACUCUUGUCUCGUUUUAUUACGUAGGCAUCUUGUCGAGUUUUUCAAGUCCAAGGUGAAGAUGAGAUACGAUGGAGGCGAACGGGAGGGCCAACAAGAAUCAAGCAUUCAUACAGCUGAGAGGAAAGGAUUUCAAGUGUACUUUGCAACAAAUCAAACGGCACAUGAUUCGGAGCUUGCUAGAGAAAGAUAUCACGAAUUAAAGUUGAAUCCGAUUCGGGUCCGAGCUGGCAGGAGACCCGAAUUUGUUUUAAUCACCCAGGCCGCAUCCGGAGUCCAAAUCAAGCAAACAAGUACUUGUUGGAAAGGUAAUUACAAGACCUUUCCAACGGAUCUGGCCCCAUCAAGAGAUUCGACUCGUGCUGACCGUGGCGGACAAAACAAGCUGACGGAUCUGUUUUUCUGUUUCCUAAAGAGUUGUAGUUUGUUAGGAAAGUUAGAGAUAGAGUUGGGUUUCGGACUCCUUAUUCAAGGUGGACGAAAAUAUCUCUCCCUCCUCCUUUAUAUACCCCAUGAGCCCCCCUAAGGAGCCUUGGGUUUUGUUUAGUUAAAAGUUAGCCAUCGCUACUACUUCGUGUAAUCGCGUGUGUCGGUUAGACCACCUGUUUUACCGCUUUCGGAACCCCAACUUAUCGUCUCGUUGAGGCAUUGGUUUGAUAUAGUAUAUUCGCAAUUUUAGAUUGCAUCCGCUAUUUAUCUUGUUCUUGCUUGUUCUUCGAUUGCUUGCAGGAACAAAGACCUUCGUGGUCAGGUUGAUCGUGCCCCCGCGUGAUCAAUAACCCUCUGGAGUUGGUGUAUCGAUUGCUAAGGCGCUGCCUCCUAGGCCGUACUCGGAUCGUCAACGUCACCUCCUACACAAAUCGAGAGUUAUCAAUCUCAUCGAAAGAUCGGGCCACCCGCCCCCGUAUCACGUGGUAUCAUAUCGGCUUCGGGUGGCGCAACUCCAUCCCACCACCCUCUUCCUCCUCGCCGUCUUCCAAUUCCUCUCUGAGGGGUUUGUCGGAGUGAUGCCGUCGGUGGCAUUAUUCCGGCACUAUUUCUACCCGCGCGUCGAGCAGGCGGGGGCAAUGUCGUCGGGGGUGGUCUUCCGCGCCCGCGACCAGAUGAACUCGGAGUUCAUCGUCCGGUCAGAGAAGAAGAUUCAGAAGGAGUGGCGUGCGGACUGGUGCUGGGUUCGUGUGGAGGAACCCGAGGAGUUCAUCGACACGCCCACCGAGCUGCCGGUGCCCAACGACACUUGGCGGAACCGCUACAGCCGCGAUGCCGAGCUCCUCUCCAUCGUCGAGAGAAUCAAGGCCCUGCGGCUAGCAAGGCUCACCGACCUCGACGUGGCGCACACCUACAUCAGCCGGCGUAUCGUGCCGCUGCAGCUGCGCUCCCGCCCCACGUGGAUGUACACGGGGCCCGGGGACACCACCCGCCUCCAGCACGGAGGCGUAGCCCCGCAAGCAAUCCGGACGUGGGUGAAGGGGAUCACCGACGAAGACGCCCUCUUCACAGAGCUGCCGCCAGGGGCUCCCUCCCUCCAUGCCAGCGUCCUGGGGCUGCACAAGAUUAUCAGCGGCUACCCACCCUCCAACGAGUGGGGGCUGAUGUCCGACUCCCCCGCUCGGGCCCCGCGUCCCCCUCCACCCGCAACCCGAGGGAAACGGGUGGCCAAGAACAGUGGAGGAGAGUCGGAGCUCAGCUGGCCUGACCUUGAGCCCUCCAGCGACGAGGCGGGUCAAGUUGCCGGGACCCAAGCGGUCCUCCUCGAGGAGGAGGAGGAGGACGAGGACAACGCACCCUUGAUCGUGCGGAGGUCAAGAGCUCCCGCAGCAGCGGCCACCUCUGCAGUGUCUGCUCGUGCCGUGGUGACACCCGCAGCAACGGGGGGCGUGGCAACCCCACGGGCGCCCACGGCCCCACCCAAGCGGGGACUCUUCCGGGGCUUCGAGUUCAAGCUCAACCCCCCGAAGGACGGCACCCCGACGGGAGCCGGCAAGAGGGGGAGAGCCGAUCCGGGCGGCACGGGGGCCGGUGGCGCCGCCACUACGCCUGCCGCCGACCAAAUCCUAGUGGAGGAGGAGCCGGCAACAGGUACUGAUCCCUCCCCUAGUUCCAUUGUUUACGCUUCUCCUGCCUGUUGAUCCGCAACCGUGCCGCUUUCUUGAUUCGCAGGCGAAGUCCAGCCCGCGGCGGGCGCCUCGGCAACAGAGGCUGGGAUGGAGGAGGAGGAGGAGGCUCCUCCCGCAAGCUCGGCGGCCCCGCAAGGUACUCGUUCAGAGCUUCCUUGCUUUCAUCACCGGAUAACUUAGUUUAUUUUUAGAUUCUAAUUCUUUUCUUUGUCGCAGACCCGACUGCACCCAUGACGGGAGCGGGCGAUGCGGUGGUCGAUCUCGGCUCCGAUGUCGAAGAUGCGGGGACGAGAGAGGAGCCGGGAGAGGCUCCCGCACCAAGCUGCACCACGCCGGACACAACGGUGGCGGCCCCACCGUCGCUACCGAGGGGGAGCUCGGCGGCGCGUCCCGGGCCGUGCAGGCCGAUGACGCGGAUCCCGCGGUCACCCAGCAGGAGGCGCCUCCUGCCGAGGGCGCGGCAACUCCACCAGUCCCGCAACCCGUGGGCAGGGGUGUGGAGGAGGCUGCGGCAGGGGAGUAACAAGAGGCUCCGCCGCCAGGGGACGAAGCCCCUCCCGGCCAAACAGUGGCGGCGGGGGCCUCGUCUUCGUCCGCUGCUACCUCCGGCCCACACUUCGGCAUCCUUGCCGGGCCGACUUAGGACCCAAUCACCUAGGACCCAAGCAUCUACGACCAGGGGCACCAGUUCCUUGACGCCAUCAAGGAGCAGCAACUGGGGUUCGUAACCUCCUUCAACCAGGUGAGGGAGCGCCACGAGCUCGCAAAGGGCCAGCUCGGCGAGAUGCGGCAGGCCGUCGAGAGGGAGCGGCAGGAGCUCUCCCGGCUGCGGGAGGAGACGCGCCUGGCCCGGCAGGCCAGGGAUGAAGCCGCAGCACCGGUCGUCCCCGAGGCGGAGCUCCACUGGCAACUGGAGGAGCCGCGCGCCGAGCACCAACAAGCCCUGGACUCGCUGGCCGUGGUGCAGGAGAAGGCCAAGAAGGAGCACGAGGAGGUGCUCGCUACGGCCCAAGCUCGCCUCAACGAGAAGAGCGAGCUGGUCUGUAGCUACCUCUCCCAGCUCCAGGGGCUACGCACCAAGCUGGAGGAGCAGACCAAGGCUGCGGAGGACGCGGCAGCGGCGUCGGCACAACGGGAGAAGGAGGUCAACUCCGCCAAGGAGAAGAGCGCCCAACUCGAGUCCGAAUUGGCCACUGCUCGGGAGGAGCUCGUCAAAGUGGGCAAGUACUCGUAGCCGCCAACCGCUCUCGGCAACUUGCCGACGAUGUCCAGCCCCCAGACCGCAAACGGCCAGGAGGAUGGAAUGACUUGCAGGGGCUGCGCCGGCUGGUUGGUCUUCUUCGCAUGGAACUGACAUGCCUCACACGUCUUGACCAGUUGCUCGGCAUCGACUAGCGCUGUAGGCCAGUUGAAGCCGUGCCGGAAAGCCUUGCCGGCUAGAGCCCGGGAGGCCACAUGGUGGGAGUAUGUGCCUUGGUGUAUCUCUUCCAGGAGUGCGCGCCCUUCGUCUUGGGAUGCGCAGAGGAGCUUCACUCCAUUUGCACGCCUCCGGUAGAGGUUCCCGUCCACCAAGGCGUACAUCUUGGACAGCUCGUCAGCCGCGAAGUUAUCCUUGCGCUUGACGUGCUCGAACCGCAAACCCUUGAACUUGCGUUCCAGCUUGCGGACCUCAUCCACGUACGCUGCCAUCAGCGGGCAGUCAUAGUCCUUGUUAACCUGGUUGAUCACGAGUUGGGAAUACCCGCGAACAACCAGGCGCUUGAUAUCAAGGGCGAUCGCCGCCCGCAACCUGGUGAGCAACCCUUCGUACUCAGCCGUGUUGUUGGCGGAGUUGGAGAAGUCGAGCUGGAUGGCGAACUUCAGCUGGUCUCCUGUGGAUGACUCGAUGACGACUCCGGCGCCAGCUCCCUACAGGCUGAAUGCGCCGUCGAAGUACAGGAUCCAGUGGCCUUCAUCCAGCUUCCCAGGCAGGCUGGUCUCCGGCUCUUCUUCUUCUUCUACGCCCGUCGAAGUCCACUCUGCAACGAAAUCAGCCAGAGCCGUACUCUUGAUUCUCUUGGUGUUGGUGAAGUGCAGGUCGAACUCCAACAACUCCAUCCUCCAUUCGGCCACCCUUCCGGUGGCUUCACGGUUGGUGAGGCCCCGCUCGGGCAGAAUCCCGACACCACCGUGACGCGGUGCGCCUGGAAGUAGUGGCGCAGCUUGCGUGAUGCAAGCAGGAUCCCCAGUAAGAGCUUCUGCACUGCGUCGCGCAGCACCGUGCUGACGAAGUACACCGGGUGCUGCGCGAGCCGCCUGCGUGGUGUUGACGCUACCGGCUCGACGGCAGUUCCCGGGUCCAGGGCGGCUGCCGGGGCUAGUUCAGCCCCCUGCCCCGCAGUCUCAGCCUUCGGGAGGUCUCCCUCUCUCUCGGCAACUAGCACCGAGCUGACCACUUGGUCGGUCGCCGCUAGGUAGAGUAGCAGCGGCUCGCCCGGCUUGAGGGCGACGAGGAUCGUGGCGACUUCAGGUACUGCUUGAGAUCCUGGAACGCCGCCUCAGCCUCGGGGGUCCAGUCGAUUGGGCCCUUCUUCUUCAUCACCUUGAAGAAAGGGAGGGCGCGCUCGCCCCGCGUUGAAAUGAAACGUCCUAGCGCGGCUACGCAGCCGUUGAGGCGCUGCACGUCCUUCACCCUGCGGGGAGCCUCCAUUUUCUCGAUAUCUUCUAUCUUCUUUGGGUUGGCUUGAAUCCCCCUGUGCGAAACCAAGAAGCCCAAAAGUUUUCCCCGAGUCUACACCAAACGUGCAUUUCUCAGGGUUCAUCUUGAGCUUGAUCCUGCGGAAGUUAUCAAACGUUUCCCGCAGGUCAUCAAUCAGCGAGUCCCCGCGCUUUGACUUGAUGACGAUAUCAUCCAUGUAGGCCUCAACGUUUCGGCCUAGAUGGGAUACCAAACACUCGCGUCAAGCACGCUGGAAUGUUGAGCCCGCAUUUUUCAACCCGAAUGGCAUGCACGUGUAGCAGUAACAGCCAACAGGGGUGAUGAACGCCAUUUUUUCUUCGUCUUCGACUGCCAUCUUAAUUUGAUGGUAGCCGGAAAAAGAAUCCAAAAAACACAGCAAAUCACAACGGGCAGUGGAAUAUACUAUUUGGUCAAUGCGAGGUACAGGGAAAGGAUCUUUAGGACACGCACGGUUAAGAUCAGUAAAAUCUACACACAUGCGAAGUUUACACUCUCACUUGGGUACUACUACAGGGUUAGCUAACCAAGUGGGGUACGGUACUUCCCUGAUAGCCCCCGCAGCUUUAAGCUUGUCCACCUCUUGCUUGAUGAAAUCUUUGCGCUCCUGUGCUUGCCGGCGGAUCUUCUGCUUGACGGGGCGGACGUCUGGACGCACCACAAGUCGAUGCUCGAUCACCUCCCUAGGGACCCCGGGGAGGUCCGACGGUUCCCAGGCGAACACGUCAGCGUUCUCCCGGAGGAAAGUGAUGAUGGCGCUUUCCUAUUUGGCAUUGAGGCUUGCACCGACGGUGACGGUACGCUCCUCGUUGCCGGCUAGGAGGGGCAGCUUCUUCACCUUGGCGGCCUCCUCCUUGAGCUUCUGGCCCUUGCCGGGGCACGAGCUCGAGCCUGCGCCUCUCCCAGCAAGCUCUUGCGGGGUAGCGCGGGCUUUCUUCGCUGCGGGGCGAUCGCCUGGCAAUGAGCCUUCGCUUCCGGCGACGUCCUCGUCACCGGAAUCGGCUGCGGCGGUGGCCUUGACGACCUUGCCAACACACCCGGCUGCGUCCUUGAGAUCGCACCUGAUGGAGAGGACUCCAUACGUGGACGGCAUCUUCAUCACGCUGUAGGCGCAAUGAGUUGCCGUCAUGAACUUGAUCAGCGCCGGCCGACCUAGGAUCCCGUUGUUUGGCAAAGGGGUAUGCGCCACAUCGAACACAAGGUGCUCCGUCCUGAACGCUUUUGGGGACUCGAAGGUAACCGGCAGCGUGAUGCGCCCUCUGGGGUUCACUCCCCGGAACGGGUCGGUGGGCUUCAACUGCUUCAGCGGCAGCUGAAGUUUCUCCACGACCUUGGCGGACAGGAGCUUCAACCCCUCUCCGUUGUCCACCGGCACCUUGGUCACCGUCACAUUGUUGAUGAUGGGUGAGACCACGAAGGGUAAAACCCCUGAACCCAGCUGCCGGGCUGGGUGAUCGUCGGCGCAGAAGGUGAUCGGCACGUGCGACCACUUCAGCGGCUGCGGUGCCUCCAUGUCCGGCAAUAACGCACAUACCUCUCGGGUGAGGCGCUUCACCGCGGCAUGGGAUGAGAGAGCGUAAGCUCCCCCAUGGAUGCAGGCGACGCCGCGGGGCUCCUGGAAGCCGGCCUCGUCGCCCCCGCUGCAGUCGGACUCGUGCUGCUCCUCAGCGCGAGCCUUGUCUCGUCCCCGGGGAGGGUGCUCCCUGCUGGGCCGCAUCCCCCCUGGACUCCCUCUCUGCCGGCGCCCCCGCCGGCAGGCUUCGGCCCCGCUCUGGGGUCGUUCGGGCAAUCCCGGGAUAGACGUCCGAUAUCGCCGCAGUUGAAGCAGGCGCCGGCCGCUCGGCACUCUUCGUGGCGCUGCUCGCGCCUCUGCUUGAUACCCUGCAGGAUGCGGCAAUCCUGCGUGUCGUGGGUAGCGUUGGCGUGGAUGGGGCAGCGGGACGCGUCGCCCGGCUUCCGCCAGACCCGCCGACGGGCGAGGCCUUCUUCGCAGGCCUCGAGGCAGCCCCUGACUCCGCGGCGAGGACUUGCUUUCUGUUGCGCUUGCGGGAGCUCUUCUUCGGCGAGCCCUAAGCGGGGCUCACGGCAGCCUUAGCGGCGAGUUCGGGCGCUAAGCGCCCUUCCUCGGCCUUGGUGCGUCCGGAUCCGAUGCGUGCUCAGCUUGUCCCGCAUCUUGGGGUCGCGUACGUUGAUGGCGAAGGUGUUGUUGAUGGCGGUAGCCUCCGCCUCUGGAAUGGAGUAGGAGAGGUUGGAGAAGCGGUUGACGAAGCUUCGCAGCGUCUCUCCUGCCUUCUGCACCACGGUGUGCAGCUCUGCCAUGGCUCCUGGGCGCUUGUAGCCGCCCUGGAACACGCUCACGAACUGCUCGCGCAAGUCCGCCCAAGUGGCUAUGGACCCGGCAGGCAGGUUGAGGAGCUAAGUUCUCGCUGAUCCCUUGCGGACCAUCGGGAACCAGUUAGCCCUGACAUUGUUGUCAGCGCCGAUGGCGUGCAUCGCCAACGUGUAGGUCAGGAGGAAAUCCUUCGGGUUCACGGUCCUGUCGUACGUUCCAAGAGCCAGCGCUCGGAACUUGCGGGGCUAUGUUAUCCGGCGCAGCUCGCGGGUGAACGCGGUGCAGCCGUCCUGGACGCCCAUGGGAGCAUCCUCCUGCUCCUCUGGACACUGGCGCUCUGCCUCACGCCAGUACCGGUGCUCCAGGUGUUGGCGGAGGUCUUCCUGCUGGCGGGCGUUCAGGACGCCCCACGUGUCACCCCGCAUGACGGUAGGUGACAAAUCUGAGGACCCCUCAGGAUCCCCGCCUCGUUGCCCUCCCUGCGGGGGAGGGUUUUCUCCCUGCCCCGAGGCGUGGGGCGCGUCUCCGCGUCCCGGGUUCUGCCCGCAGCCUUAGCCAGCCAGCGCACCCUCGCCUUGCGGCUGCUGGGCGGCGAGUGCCCAGAGUGCCUCCAGCUCCGCACUCCAUGCCUCGCGCGCAGGCGUGCCCUGCGGUAGCUCGUAGCGCACCAUGACCCGCGCGGCGAUGAUAGCUUCUGCCGGGGUUUGGGCUGGAGGCAGCCGAUUCUCCGACUGGCUGCCCCCCGCCCUGUCCCCCAGCGCACCUGGGUGGGUAGGGUGCGACCCCGACGACGUCGCUCGCGAUGCGGUGUGCUCGUGGCGUAGCUGCCGCUGCGCGUCUUCGGGCCGUGAGAGGACUCGCUGACCGGCCCCCUCGCACGACUGGCUCCGGCGCUGGGACCCGCCGGCCCCCUCAGCCGGUCAUCCGCCGACGGCCGAGGGGGUGGUGGCGGCGGCAGCUGCGACUGCGGCUGGUGCACCCGGGCAGACUCAGGGUCGCCCUGGUCCAGCGACGUGCGCUGCACGUCGUGCGACCGCGUGUGCGCCGCCGGGGCGCCACGCGGGCCGAUCCGAGAGUCACCAGCCCGCUUGGGGGGGCAUGGCGACUCGCUCUGUUGUCGGAGAAGACAAGGCCGAUGCUGCUACAGAUGACAGCACCGGCGAGCUCUCCUCGCGCGCCCCCUACCUGGCGUGCAAGAUGUCGUAGCCCGGGGCGUAGACACCGGGGGUGAGCGGCACCCCCUUUUAGGUUCAGCAGAGGGCGUCGGGGAUCGCUCCGGCGAUCACUGGCGAAGCCAAUGUCAAGCGUGAGGAUGCACACAAUCGUUUUUACCCAGGUUCGGGCCACCCUGAGGUGUAAAGCCCUACGUCCUGCUUCAGCGUUCUUAUUAGCCAGUGAACAAGGGUUUACCGAUUGUCGUGGGAGUUCCCGGGCGUUCUCUCCUUUUCUCCUAAGAGCUACUUGCUAUUUCUGGCCAAAACUAGUAAAAGAAAACCGAACAGAACCUUUUGACCGUUGGCAAUGGUCCUCCUUUUAUACUCAAGGGGAUACCACAGGUGUCUCGGUGCAUGGGUGACAAGUGGCGAGCAAAGAACUCGGACAGCUUGCCCUCGGUGUGCUGGCUUGCAUGCAUGAUGAGUGCCCUGCAACUAGGGUCCUACGUGCCUAAAUUUUACACCGGGCCAGUCACGAUAGGCUGAGUGGACGGGGAAUCCCUUUCUGUCAGUGCAUUUAAUGCUUGAGUGUGCUUCACUCCUUGUCCGGACGAACCCUGCGCACGGGGAGCCCGCCGAGCGGCCACGUGGCGUCGCUGUCGUGCCCGCUCGGUCCCGCUCCUGUAGCGAGCGCCUGCGCCCGGGAACGCCCUUCCCGGCAAGUAACCUUCCUGGGAAGCGCCCAGGCGGGAUUUCUCUUGCUGCCCUCCAGGGCAACCCCCGCAACCCGGCUAGCCCUGCCGUGCUGGUGACUUGCCGGGCAGCUCGCGGGGUGCUGCUCGGGGUGCGAUCCUCCCGGUGAGCAAGCGAGGUGGCCCGCGCGUCAUGCAGCGGUGGUACCCCGGGUUCCACUGGUGCGACAUUGGUGUAUAUGUCUGCUCCAGAAUGGCCAUAAAGGAGAAACAUAAUAAAUAAAUAUCCCAUGCUUGUUCACGAUUUCGUUAUGCCUUUGCAGUACUUGACCAACAUAUACAAACAUGCAUGAGCCAGACAGGAUCCCUUUUCAGAAGAACAAGAGAGAGAGAGGAGAUUAAAUAUAUUUCCAACUCCAAAUUACCUUGGUAUAGACAUGAAAUGGCCAGCAGCUUAAAUAAGUGAAAAUUUUAUACCAGAAAGAGAUCCUAUUCGAGAACAAAAUAAUUCUACUAACUGACCAUGAAGAUUUGCUGUCUACUUACUUAAUUAAACGACCCAACAGAAGAUAAAACCUCAAGGGUCCACAAGUUACCAACAAAUGCAGACCCAAGUUAAUAUAUCGAUCAAUAUAUCCCCAGUGGCUAUGGCAAACUACCACCAAAUCUAGAAAAACCUGAAAAGAUACAUAGCAUAGAGCUCAGGUACAUGUUGUAGUUCAACAUUCGCACAUAUCAAGUGCUAUCUGGUUUUAGUAGGUUUACGAGAUUGUGGUUUGGUGUACAUGUCGGCUCCAGAUUGGCCACAAAGGAGUAUGAUAACAAAUCAUUAUCAAGUUCCAAGUCAAAUGUAAGAGUAAAUUUCAUAAAAUCAUAGGUUUUGGGGUUUGGGUUUCACGGAGGCACAAGUUUUGUGAUUUGCAACAGAAAACCACAGGUUUUGAGCCUAACUGUUUCAGAAAACACAAAUAACCCGGUUUUGUCAAUUUGACAGCGAAACCGACAGAGGCGCCCCAUGGGGCGCGGGUCAGUUGCCACGUCAGAAAGAACUUUUUUUUCACGGAACCCUCAUCCAAGUCUAUAUUUUCCCCCAACAACAAAUAACAUCUAAAAAAAUAGAAAAUUAAAAUUACCUGGCUGCCUUCGUACCCGCGGCCGCGCCGGAGCCCCUCGCGCCACCUGUUGUGCCGCCGCCGCUGAGCCGCGCGCGCCGCCUGCUGUGCCGCCGCUCCC